rnacentral:lncRNA from 1 species
CAAUAACCUCUGGCUGCUCAUUCUUAGGGGAAUGCAGGUUUACAAACAUGGGUUUCAAGUUUUUGCUAAUAAUUCUUAUAUUUUUAUCUGGUUUUGAAUCUCAUUUAUUUAGAGUUGCUGACUUUUUAGAGUGGUUAUAGGGUGCCGUGUAUGAAAGGUGAUUUGAAAUUUUGUCUUCGAGUGCAGGGUUCCUAGUUACGUCAUUCACACAGGCGCACUCACACACAUUCAUGCACGCACGCACAUACACACAGACACACAUCCAUUCCCCCAAGGCUUUACAAUAAUGUAUCAUAAUGACUUGGAUGCAUGAGUUUGCAGCCUUUUGGAGGGAAAAUUCUUAACGGGGACACAAGGAUUGUUUGAGUGCUAACAUCAAGUUGCCAACGGAAUGCUACGUUAUAAUAAUGAUGCGUUUCCCUGCAAUAUGUUGGCAUGACCAAGGAAGUCAUGGAACCUGGCAUCAGGGAACCUGAAAGUAGUGACUCCUCCAUUAGAAAUCUUGGUAGUUAUUUUCACUGCCUGGUCUGGAUAUGGGCAUUGAUGACAUAGCUUGAAUGUUUGUGUCUCCUCCAAAAUUCGUGUUGAAACUUAAUUUCUAACUUAACAGUAGUAUUAAGAGGUAGGGCCUUUAGGGGGUGAUUAGGAUAUGAGAGCUCUGCUUUCAUGGAUAAGAGUAGAGGUCCUUACAAAAAGAACUUGAUGAGGGAGAGAGUUCUCCCUCUCUAUCUUCUUUUGCCCUUCAGCCUUCCAUCAUGCGAGGACACAACUUUGGCCUCUUCUGCCAUGUGAGGACGUAGCGACGAAGUACAGUUUUGGAAGCAGAGGAUGGGUCCUCUCCAGGCACUGAACCUGCUGGCACCUUGAUCUUAGACUUUCCAGCCUCCAGAACAGCAAGAAAUACAUUUCUCUGCUUUAUAAAUUACCUAGUUUCAGCUAUUUUGGUGUAGCAGCACAAAUAGGCUAAAACAACUGAGGAAGGAUUUGGGGAUCUAUUCUCUUACACCUUGGCCUUUUCUCUGGAUAGAGAUGAGCUCACUUAGAGAGUCUUUCAAAUUCAGAAGGAAAAGUAGUUUGCUCACAAGAUGCUUAUAUUUGUGAUAAGACUUGGGGUGGAGGUCAUUCUCUUUGGAACGAACUCUGACUUCCCUUGAUCCUGUUUUCUCUCUGGGGUGUGGAGAGGUAGGAUGGGAUGGGAUUUCUGCUAUAAGGAAGACAUUCACACAAGGCCGCAUGCCUAGGUACCAUCAAGUACCUUCCAUUCACUGUGAAACGUGAGAAGCCAACUACUCCCCAAAUAACAUUUAGGCUUUGACAAUGUUUCCCUCCUAUUUUCCAGCUCCUGUCCUAGGGAGCUUGAGGACAAGUGCUUCUGAGUGCCCAGAAGAGACAGAAUAAAGCCCAUUUAGAAAAGCUCUGGGAGCUUGAUGAGACUUGCAGGUACCAGCAUCAAGAGAAGAUGAAAAAGCAAAACGAAGUCCUGUUUGAAUAUUGUGACUGUUUUUAAAGACAGAUAAAAGGAAACUAGGAACAAUCCGGCCCAAGAUGGAAAUAAGUCUGGGAAGCUGCGAAGAGUGUGAUUUCCGAUCGCACCACCCACCGGCCUCCCGCUUCAAAGUUCUCCUGCCCAGUGUGAACCUCACUUCUGGCUUUUUCUACAAAAGUGGCCAUGAGCGCCCAAUGCACAGAAUGAAUUCGGCUACAAAGAGGCCUUUGAGAGCUCCCGAGGAAGUGCCCCACUGGGAAACCAGGUGGAUGGCAAACGUUCCCUUUUCAUUACAAAUGAGUUCAGGGACAGGGCCACCCUGAUGGGACUCUCAACUCCAUCCGAAAGCUAAGCCCCACCAGCCCACUCAUUUGAAAACCAAACAGGUUUCCUUCUGCCUCCCCAUUCCCUGUUCACAAACACGUUUACAAGUGCUUGAUAGGUGACCUUAUUUACUUAGUAACCUGUGGAUUCAUUUAUCUUGAAAUUAGUAGGUAAUGAAGUGGAAAACCUCAACAGCCCUCCCACUAAUUAACAUGAUAAUAAGAUUGUUUUGCUACAGAGGUACAAUUAGCAUGUAUGAGCCAAAGGGGAAGAAAGAUCAAUAAAAUGUCUGAAGGGUACUACUCCCAGGUCUCCAGAGAAGAACAAAGAAGGGAAACUACAGAUUUUAAGACCCAUCCGUGUAAACACAUCCAACUCUGAGACCGGACCCUACUGAAAUGAUUUGAUGCCUGCUGGAGAAGGAGGUGUGGAGAUAACUGAAAGGAAUUAAUUAUAAAGUACACAUUUUGGUGCAGUCGAUGGCCUUUGAAAAUAAAAGGGAAAAACUGGGCAUCUAUAGGUUUUUAAAAACCUGGCCAACAUCUACGUGCUUUGCAUUAAUUUUUAAAGGUAGAUUAUAAUUGCUUGAAAUUUACAUCUUUGGAGUGAAGAGGAGAACCCAUUCUUAUUUCUGGAAGGCAUUUCCAUGAUUUUCUGAAUUGUCCUGGAUUUAAUUAGCAGUAUUUGGGGCCAGUGAAUGGCAGAGUUCUGAAAGAAGGGCUAAGCAUUCCUGGGGAGAAGCUGGAAGUUGCUUCCUGAACAGUCAUCCUAACAGUCAUCCUACUAGACACUAAGUAGGGCUGGGGGCCCAUGUGUGUUGGUGGACACCAAGGAAUGCUUUGAGCGAAGGACCCUGGGGAAGAAGGAAAAGGGAAGGGCUGUGCACACGAGAUCUUCUUGCUUCCUCCUCUGCACACUGGUUUGGUGAAAGGCCAACGCGAGGCUCACUCUGAUGAUUAUCCACUACUUAGUGAGAAAAACCAACACUUCUAGAUUUUAAGUAGAUGCACAGACACCUGCACAAGCCCCUGGUUUUUUUCUGAUGUUUUUAGCCUCAUAACAGACCUUACCUUUGACUUACUGGGUUGUAAGAAUGUGGGAAUUCUUACAAUGAGAAACCAAGAGAGCCAUUCACAACCAUAUGUAAAAAGGAUUACCAAUCUUUUGGAACUUCGGCACACCAUUUUUUUCUCCAUUCCAUAGCAUUGUCACAUAACCGAAAACGCAUGCCCAUAUAGGGCACAUGCAAAUUCUAAAACCCAAGUGAAUUUACUUUAAAAUAAUUUUUAUUUCAGAAUAACUUGAGAAUUUUCCAAUAUCUCCAGAGAUCAUUGGAGGCACCCUAGGGGGUCAUAUAAUCUUGCCUAGGUAAAGCUGCCCUAGAAAAAAGAGUAUUUUAAUAACCAAAGUCGAUUCCUCUUAGGAAGAAUUCCCUUUGUGUUCUAUAACCUAGCUUUAAAUCCAAAGUCCUCAUCUUUGAACAAUCAGAGCAAUAUGAUGUAGCCCAGGAGAGUCAGAAGUUGAAUUCCAUUCAGAGAAAUGUGCAACUCGGAGACAUGAAACUGCACCGCAUUUGCACUGGCUAAGUCUUUCAGGGAUAAAACAAUAGUCCCCACUUGUUGGGUGCAACACAUAUCGUCUAGUUUUCUCAAUCCUCAAAGGUAAAUAUUAAUGCCUCCAUUUUACAGAUAGCAAAACUCAGGCUUAGAGAGCCCUGUAGCCAUCUCAAAGUCCAACAGCCAGUUGAAAGAGAGGUGGAAUUAAACGUAAAUUCUUUUGGUUCUAGCAAAAGCCCCUAUCAGUAUCUCACCGUCUUUCUUGGGAUGAUGAACUGUCUUGCUGGAAACCCCCUUAAGAGCCAGUUUUGAAAUUGUUUUGAAGUCCCCCUGACCUCUGUCUCCAGAAAGCAUUUAUUCUUUGGUGUACUUACUAUAUUGGCAACUUAUGUUAAUAAUUUUUAAAGCCAUGACCCACUGUGAGGUGCUAAACAUUUCUUCUGGCUAGAACUUCUCCGACAGCAUAUAUAAAGCUUCUCACAAGUUAACAGCAAGCUUCCUUCAUUUGGUUUUAAUGACUUUGUAAAAUAAAUACCCAAGAUUGUUACUAAAAAAUAAAAUAAAGUGUUUCAGUGGGAGAAUAUAGAAGAUAUAAAUUUAACUUAAUAUAAUUCCCUUACUCCUUGUCAAGGGUGAACAUGUGACGAGAAAUUUUUAGAAGGGCUCCGAUGAGCUGGUUGUAAUAAGUAGCCUUUUUGGCCUAGAUUUGUAUCUUCCUUGAGAAUAGUAGUAAUUUUCGAGUUUCUUUCCAGAUUUUUUUUCCUUGCAUAUCCACUGUACAAUUGGGAUCUUGUCUCAAGGUGUGAAGCUUUUGCAAAUUUAUAAAAUCAUGUCGUCUGCCUUGCGUUCUUGGGAAGUACCUGACAUGAACAAGACUGAAUCCCCAGACUGCUCACAAGAUCACAACUGCCUCUCUUGUCACCCGGCUCUGUGAGCGUGGGCCAGUUUGGCAUCAUUCUGCUGUUUGGACAGCCCUGUGGAGGCACAGGUCGCUGAGCAUUGUAUUUCAUCCACACAUUUUCUCAACAAUGUUGCCUUGCAGUUUGAAAGACAAGCAGGGUGGCCCAGGUAUCACAUUCCUCCAAGUCUCCCGGGCAGGACUGAGCUUUAAAUGUGUGGGGACCAGUAGCACAUGAGGAGCCUCCCAGGUCAAGGGAAGGCUUGGGAGGCUUGCCACCGUUGUCUACUGGGGAAGGAAAUCCAGGCCCAGUUAAAACCUGGGCUCCUGGGGAGCUGGCUGGGAGAGAGGGCAUGUGAAGGUUAGGAGCCGCUGGAACAGGUGUGAUGUUAGAGUCUCAAGUGAGAGGAUGGCCAUGGUUUUUCCUCAUCUUCGUGCUUAAAGUAGUAGUUUUAGAAGAGCUUCCAGGUGCUUCUGUGAGUCAGGGUUCUCAUGCACUCGUGCUAGUCACCCCGGUAGGUGACUUCAAGGCACUCUGUUCAUAGCCCCUGGUUGCACACUCACAGACAGAAAGUGAGGGACCCAUGGGAUGUGUAAGGAGAAGCACUCUGCCUACAAAACCAUUAGCAUCCUAAGACUGGUCACCAUGGGACAGUGACGACAUGACUUUUGGCUGUCAGUCAGUCCUUUUGAAAUGGAGCAUGCAGUUUCUUUCUCCCCUCCCUCCCCUCCCC